rnacentral:rRNA from 1 species
ACGCUCGACACCUACGGGAAGCAGCAGUAGGGAAUCUUCCACAAUGGACGCAAGUCUGAUGGAGCAACGCCGCGUGAGUGAAGAAGGUUUUCGGAUCGUAAAGCUCUGUUGUUGGUGAAGAAGGAUAGAGGUAGUAACUGGCCUUUAUUUGACGGUAAUCAACCAGAAAGUCACGGCUAACUACGUGCUAGCAGCCGCGGUAAUCUGAGCGGGCUGGCAAGGC